GACGAACGCUGGCGGCGUGCUUAACACAUGCAAGUCGAACGGAAAAGCCCUGCUUGUGUGGGGUGCUCGAGUGGCGAACGGGUGAAUAACACGGGAGUAACCUGCCCUGGACUUUGGGAUGACUGCAGAAAACUGGUGCUAAUACCUGAGACGAGCUCCUGCAGCAUGGUGGGGGUUGGACAGUUUAGGCGGUUGGGGAUGGACUGCGGGGUUAUCAGCUUGUUGGUGGGGGAGUUGCUUACCAAGGGAUUGACGGGUAGCCCGCCUGAGAGGUGGACCGGCGACAUGGGGACUGCGAGACGGACCAGAGUCGUAUGUGAGACAGCAGUGGGGAAUAUUGUACAAUCGGGGGAAGCCUGAUGCAGCAGCGCCGCGUGCGGGAUGACGGCCUUCGUGUUGUAAACCGCAUUAGCCUGUGACCAAGCGGGAGUGGCGUUAAUGGGUAAAGAAGCACCGGCUAACUACGUG
rnacentral:rRNA from 1 species